CCUACGGGAGGCAGCAGUGAGGAAUAUUGGUCAAUGGCCGGAAGGCUGAACCAGCCAAGCCGCGUGAAGGACGAAGGUGCCAAGCAUUGUAAACUUCUUUUGUCAAGGGACAAAAUCAGGCUCGAGAGCCUGACCGAGGGUACUUGAAGAAAAAGCAUCGGCUAACUCCGUGCCAGCAGCCGCGGUAAUACGGAGGAUGCGAGCGUUAUCCGGAUUUAUUGGGUUUAAAGGGUGCGUAGGCGGACUGUUAAGUCAGCGGUAAAAGCCCGGGGCUCAACCCCGGCGAGCCGUUGAAACUGGCUGUCGUGAGAGGUCGCGGGGUAUGCGGAAUGCGCAGUGUAGCGGUGAAAUGCUUAGAUAUUGCGCAGAACUCCGAUUGCGAAGGCAGCAUACCGGCGGCGAUCUGACGCUGAGGCACGAAAGCGUGGGUAUCGAACAGGAUUAGAUACCCCAGUAGUC
rnacentral:rRNA from 1 species